rnacentral:rRNA from 1 species
GGAUUAGAUACCCUGGUAGUCCACGCCGUAAACGAUGUCGACCAGCCGUUGGGUGCCUAGCGCACUUUGUGGCGAAGUUAACGCGAUAAGUCGACCGCCUGGGGAGUACGGCCGCAAGGUUAAAACUCAAAUGAAUUGACGGGGGCCCGCACAAGCGGUGGAGCAUGUGGUUUAAUUCGAUGCAACGCGAAGAACCUUACCUACUCUUGACAUCCUGCGAAUUUGGUAGAGAUACCUUAGUGCCUUCGGGAACGCAGAGACAGGUGCUGCAUGGCUGUCGUCAGCUCGUGCCG